rnacentral:tRNA from 1 species
GGCCGUAUAGCUCAGUGGUAGAGCAUGUGCUUAGCAUGCACGAGGUCCUGGGUUCAAUCCCCAAUACUUCCA